AGUCAGGGUGCCUUUUUUUAAUCAUGUUUACCACUAAAUAUCAUUCAGCAGCUGUUUCAGUGUGCAUUAUCUCCAACAUAAUAUUGUUUUCACACACAUAAAUGUCCUCGCCUGUAUACAGUUAAAUCAGACAUAUGAAAAGCAACAUCUAACUUCUACUCAGCCAACAGAAAGCGGGCAUCUGCUCGCAAAACUGGCGGAGGACCACCCCCACCAUGUCUGACCGAGGCAGAGGAGCUGGCCAUGAGUCAGACUGUCGGGAGGCCAGUCGCAGAGGGGAUCCCUGGAGGAACCUCAUCCUCGGACAUGAUUACACAGGAGCCACCAGCCUUGAUAAGAUGCAAUAGGCCUAGGCCUCAAACUUCUUUUCGGCCUAUAGUUCAAUGUUAAUUUCCCUUUCAUGUGUUUUUCUUUUGUCUCAACAGAUUCUGAAGACGUACUUGGUCUAGUGGAUCCAUGUGCCACUUUAACUGAUGAUGAAGAUGAUGGGACCACAAUGUCUGCUGCCUUCUCUGUGGUGUCUGAGAGGGAGCCUGAGAGGCCUACAGAGCAGAGCAUGGCUGGGCAGCAGGAAGAGGGUCCCUCAACCUCCACAGCACAGACUGACACAGUGAGAUACGUAUUCAGUAAAUUCCAGAGGUUAAUUCAGUGGAAUUCAUGUGCAACUGUAUAAUGUCAUCCUUAUGUGUUCCCAGCUACCACUAAAAGAAAUCUACAAAGUGCAUUUAUUAAAAACAGUACAAAAAACAGAAAAAGAAAUGGUGCUGCUGGACCGCCAGAUAACUAAAACGGAUCUGGAAAUUGAAUUAUUAAAACACAAGUUAGAGGUGGGUGCAUGGUCAUAGGUGAAUUGUGUUGAUGAUUGUAACAAUUAAAAAGUAAGAAACCAUU